UACCAGUACGCCUAAAGAUGGACUACGACUAUUACAGUACUAUAACGCGGUUCUGUGCACUGCUGUGUCCAAUUAAUUCCCCCUUUCCAGCCGAAAUUACCUUUCUCGCCUCUUUCUUUUAAAAAAAUGUUAAAAACGACGGGGGGGGGAGUGUUUAUUCACGACACAAUUUGAACUAAGCAUGCUACCUGCCAUGCCAUUCUUCGGAUAAGAAAAUUCAAGGCCGAGAAUGGAAAAGAAAUCCUACCGGAAAGAAACCACCCACUGCCCGGGGGAAAAUAGAGUGCCACCCACUGGCAUUAUUAUAGCUGAAAACCAACAUCGUGUAUGAGGAAAUUCAAAAUAAUCCGAGCCCGCCUCGUAGCCAGGAGACAAGAGCCGCUCCGCCAACGCCCGACCGCGGACCCGCCUCCCGUCUCAAACUAAUGACGCCUCUGUGAGCGCAAUCAGGCCGCGUUGUCCUUCUCCGAGCCGGGGUGUUUCUGGGUACCGCGAGAAUUGCUCUGACUGCAGGUCACUAUGCCGGUAGGGCCGGGAUGGCUGAGGAGCUGCUGGUAGGCUCAGCUCUUCGGCCCUCUCUGACGAAAUGGCACCCCGAGACCGUCCGGUAGUGGCACCUCAGGCCGCCAUGCGCAAACGCGGGGCUCGAAAGCGCCUCAAGUUUCGGGCCGAAGACGUCUGCUUAGAGCGGAUGACCGUGGCCGACUAUGCAAAUUCGGAUCCUGCCGUGGUGAAAUCCGGACGCGUGAAAAAGGCUGUGGCCAAUGCGGUGCAACAAGAAGUGAAAUCACUCUGUGGUUUGGAAGCAUCUUUCGUACCCACUGAUGAAAUACUAUCUGUGGCAGAGUCCUAUGACAGUAGCGAUGAAAUGGAUUCUAAAUAUUUCACCACUGAUGAAUAUUUCAUGACUGAUAGAAAAAAGAAAAGCAAGAGGCAUAAAGAAAGCUCUGAGAGUGUGGUAGGCAAAGAAUAUCCAAUUGACAUAUGGUUGAUGUUGGCAUCCUAUAUACGUCCAGAAGACACUGUGAGUUUUUCUCUAAUUUGCAAAAGGGCCUGGAUUGUUACUUGUACAGCUGUAUUCUGGACCAGACUUUAUAGAAGGCAUUAUAAUAGGAGUGCCUCCCUCCCAAUCCGUUUACAGCCAGAAUCAAUGGAAAAGAUGUACUGCCUUCGUGCAUGUGUAAUUCGUUCAUUAUACCAUACAUAUAGACCUUUUAUUUCCCGGAUAGCCAGAAAUCCAACAAUCCCGGAGGCUACUCCAAGCAGUCUAAAAAAUUCAAAAUGUAGCUUCUGUGGGACACUGGAGCUGUUGUGGUGUCAGCAAAAGUUGCCCUUAAAGACAGAUCCACUGUUUGGAGCAGCAUACCAGUUGGUACACAUCUGAAGGGUAGGACAGCUGGCAUGUGGAUUUCUAUGUCUUAGGAAAUUCUUAAGCUACUUUCCUCCUUUUAACUAAUAUUCCAGGUUUCACAGACAAGAGGGCUAAUUCUACUAGCUGCAUCCCUCUGAAUCUAAUGCAGGUAGUCCUCUUUAGUGACUGCCUCGUUUAGCAACUAUUCACAGUUAUGACAGUAAUAAAAAGGUAACUUUGUGACCAAUCCUUGCAUUUAUAACUUUCUCAUGUCUGUAAAGCAAAGGAAAGCUGAAGUAAGAUUAUAAGCAUAGUUACAAUUAAUACAAUUAAUAAAGUUGUGAAUGGGCAUCUUGUAUGAUAGUUAUCUUCUCCAUAAAAAUCUGGAAUGUCUGCCCUAUUCUGGUUCCAGUAGUUUCUUGAUUUUUUUCUUGAUAAAGCAAAUAAUGAGCAAUUCUUAGCAAUAUUUUGAAAUCAUUAUCUCUAGAUUCUUUAGAGUCAAUUUGGAAAUAUUUGUUUAAGUUCAUCUUUCAUUUUAUUUCCAUGUAGUAUCUAUUUCUGUUCAGAAGAGGAAGUGCACAUUAUAAUACAAUGAUAUCCUUUUUUGAAAUUGAUGUCAAUGUUAUUUAUUUUACCCUCAAAGUGAUUUGUUAAAGUAUAAAAGCUCCAGACUGGAUUGUUUGAAUACGUUUAUGUUCAAUAAGCCACAAUCUUCAUUCCAAAGAGGUUGGAAGCCCAGUGCUUUAUUGCUUUAUAUCUGUAUAACACUAUGUCCACAGACCACAACUCUUUCUCUUUUGCUCAACUAGUGCCUGCUUUUCUGGUCUAAAAGGAUUAACCAGCAGUCUUCACUGUGGGAAUUCAGCUUCAAAUUCCAAAGGCAGUCUCCCAAGUUGAAGAAUAAAC